UACAGAGGGUGCAAGCGUUGUUCGGAAUUAUUGGGCGUAAAGCGCGUGUAGGCGGCUUUGCAAGUCGGGUGUGAAAGCCCUCAGCUCAACUGAGGAAGUGCGCCCGAAACUGCAGAGCUUGAGUACCGGAGAGGAUGGCGGAAUUCCCCAAGUAGAGGUGAAAUUCGUAGAUAUGGGGAGGAACACCGGUGGCGAAGGCGGCCAUCUGGACGGAUACUGACGCUGAGACGCGAAAAGCGUGGGGGAGCAA
rnacentral:rRNA from 1 species